AUGCCCUACGGGGGGCAGCAGUGAGGAAUAUUGGUCAAUGGCCGAGAGGCUGAACCAGCCAAGUCGCGUGAGGGACGACGGCCCUACGGGUUGUAAACCUCUUUUGUCGGGGAGCAAGACCCGCCUCGUGCAGGCGGAGCGAGAGUACCCGAAGAAAAAGCAUCGGCUAACUCCGUGCCAGCAGCCGCGGUAAUACGUAGGUGGCAAGCGUUAUCCGGAUUUACUGGGUGUAAAGGGCGUGUAGGCGGGGACGCAAG
rnacentral:rRNA from 1 species